CAGAAGUCAGAGGAAACCUCACAUCUGAUGUUCAUCUGUUGUUUCUGAAUUUCCACAUUUCUCCGGAUGUUUCACACCUUUCAAUCUGUCUCUUGACUCGAAGCAGAAGUGUUUCUCACAAGCAGAGAGUCAGAGUGUCAGAGUGGACGUGAGGAUGGGACACACUUUGUUUGCUGUGUUGGGGCUUUUCUUGCUGAAUAUUCUCCUCUACUGUGGACACGCUGAAGAUGCUUUGCUGCAUAUUGAGCCAAACUGGUCCCCUUUAUUUACUGGAGAGGAAGUUAGCUUCAUAUGUGACUCAAGGGAAGGAAACGACACUGACUGGAAUUACUCAUUCAGUAGGAAUGAUCAUUUCUUUACCACAAACAGAACAGUAAAUAGAUA